rnacentral:rRNA from 1 species
CAAGUAGGCGGCAUGAUAAGUGAGGGGUGAAAUCUUCCGACUCAAUCGGAAAACUGCCUUUCAAACUGUCAAGCUUGAGGCACAAAGGGGGAAAUGGAAUUCUAGGUGUAAGGGUGAAAUCUGUAGAUAUCUAGAAGAACACCAGCGGCGAAGGCGAUUUCCUGGUUGUGUCCUGACGCUAAAUUGCGAAAGCUAGGGGAGCAAACAGGAUUAGAUACCCUGGUAGUCC